UUGGGGGAGGAGGAGAGGAGAGGGGAGGGGGUGGAACUUCAACCCCACAAACUCCUCCUUUCUCUCUCAAAAUAAUCAAACACGAGACAUUAACAACUACCAAGCUUAGCUUGGCCACUGGUUGUGCUUGUAUUGUGCCAAUUCCAAAGGGGGGUUUUUUUUUUUGUUUUUGUUUGUGGGGAGAGCUUUGAAUUAUAGCUUGAUUUGAUUAUGACUCACUUCACAUCUCUCUCCGCCUUCCCCUAUAUAUAUAUCCAGUCCUGAGCUUCCUCUCUCCUCUCUCUCUAGCUUCAUUAAUUGGCCAUUCACUACUCUUCUUGUUAUCCAAUCUAAUCAUGCGCAAGUAUACACAUGCAAUUGCAUAUUAUUGUACUUGAUUGCUGAAAUACAUGCUAUGAUAUAUGCAUAUAUGUAUGUAUAUGCCUGGCUCCCUGUAUGCCAUUUGCAGAGCCCACCGGAGAAUCGAUGGCCUCCGUGGAUGGCGUAUGAGGAGCCAUGCAUAUUAAUCAAUUCCAUUUGUGUUAUAUAUAUAUACACAUCUAUGGAUUAUAGAUAAUUAUAUAUGUAUUGUUCAAGUGUUUAAUUGCAGGGGUAUUGUUCAAAGACUGGAACCUAGUUUUCUAUGGGCAGCAUUGUAAUUUCCAAGGAAUUCUUGUUCUCUGAUGGGAUGAAAUCAUCCAAGUGAAAACCAAGGCGCACACACUCACAGUCACAGAUGCACACGCGUCUGACCAGGGAUUCAAAAAGAAAAGGCAUGAAUUCUGGCGAAUGCAAAGUUUUUUCUUUCCAGCAAACCCUAUCUCUAUCUACCAGGAUCACCAUCAUCAUCAUUAUACUAGGGAAUCUGGACCACCCGUCACACUCUCUCUCUCCUUCUGAUUGGCUGUUCAAGAAUAAUAACAUCACACGGUCAAACCAGGUCAAAAAGGCCACACUCCCACAUGCACACACAUUGGCCUGGGAGGGGUGGGGGACACAUUGAAUAUCUCUGGAUUGAUCAGAGGGCUAGGAAUGACUGUUUAGUUCUUGUUUGAGAUGGGAAGGGGCGAAGAGAAUCAAAAGUACAGUACGUUUUUGAGCCUGUGUGGAUGUGAAUACUGAAUAAUGGUGAUCGAUGAUUGUUGUGUUGUGGAGAUGAAAUGAUAUUUCAGUCUAUGUGUUGUGUUUGUUUCAUUCACUGAUUUGGGUUGUAUUUUGGGAGAUUGUUUUGUUAUGGUUUGAGGCAGACAGAUCGGCUCGUAAAGCUCUACUCAUAACAUAAAAAUGGUAACUCAUCAUUUCAGUGUUUUUGGAAUU